UGUGAGACGUUAGCAAAAGUUCACUUGAAUGCCGCCGUUUUGAACACAUUUGCGCCGCAUGUUAAGCAGAAUUAAUAGCAGUUUAGCUCGCCGUAUGUGGCAACAACAAUCCUUCAACAAUCGUUAAUGUUUUGUUAAAUGCACAUGCAGAGGCAGUGGUUUCAUUCGGGCAAAGAAAAAGCUGCCUGCGGUGAAAAAUGGAGCAACAAGGCUGACCGUGACAUCGGGAGAGCUGAGGCAGAUCAUCUUAAACAUGAUGCACCUGGACGGUCCGGUGGCGGAGACUUCAAGAAUUAAAUAAAAUUACAAUGAAAUGGAUAA